UUCACAUUCUGGAAAAAUAUUUUCCAAAAGUCAAAGAAAUCACCCAUAAGAACAUGAAAACCUCCUGGUUCUUCUUCUUUCUGGUGGCAGCUUCCAGAUGUGUCCUGUCCCAGGUGCAGCUCAAGGAAUCAGGACCUGGUCUGGUGAAGCCCUCACAGACCCUGUCCCUCACCUGCUCUGUCUCUGGAUUCUCUUUAACUGACUAUGUUGUGCACUGGAUCCGACAGGCUCCUGGAAAGGGGCUGGAGUGGGUUGGCAGGAUAAGGAGUAGUGGAAGCACAAACUAUAACCCAACUCUUCAGUCACGACUCAGCAUCACCAGGGACACCUCCAAGAAUGAAGUUUAUUCAAAGCUGAGCAGUGUGACACCCGAGGACACGGCCACAUAUUACUGUGCAAGAGACACAGUGAGGGGAAGUCAGGGUGAGCCCAGACAAAAACCUCCCCUAAGGGCACAGGAGGGUCUGGGCUGCAGGGGGCACUUGGGACCACCAGGGAGUGCUCAUGGGCUAUCCCCAGGAACAGAUGCAGAAAGGGACUGGGAGGGGUUUCCCGGCCUUGCCUGUGGUUCCCUCUUCUUGCUUCAGUACAUGUAA